rnacentral:rRNA from 2 species
CCUACGGGAGGCAGCAGUGGGGAAUAUUGCACAAUGGGCGCAAGCCUGAUGCAGCGACGCCGCGUGCGGGAUGACGGCCUUCGGGUUGUAAACCGCUUUUGAUCGGGAGCAAGCCUUCGGGUGAGUGUACCUUUCGAAUAAGCACCGGCUAACUACGUGCCAGCAGCCGCGGUAAUACGUAGGGUGCAAGCGUUAUCCGGAAUUAUUGGGCGUAAAGGGCUCGUAGGCGGUUCGUCGCGUCCGGUGUGAAAGUCCAUCGCUUAACGGUGGAUCUGCGCCGGGUACGGGCGGGCUGGAGUGCGGUAGGGGAGACUGGAAUUCCCGGUGUAACGGUGGAAUGUGUAGAUAUCGGGAAGAACACCAAUGGCGAAGGCAGGUCUCUGGGCCGUUACUGACGCUGAGGAGCGAAAGCGUGGGGAGCGAACAGGAUUAGAUACCCUGGUAGUCCACGCCGUAAACGGUGGAUGCUGGAUGUGGGGCCCGUUCCACGGGUUCCGUGUCGGAGCUAACGCGUUAAGCAUCCCGCCUGGGGAGUACGGCCGCAAGGCUAAAACUCAAAGAAAUUGACGGGGGCCCGCACAAGCGGCGGAGCAUGCGGAUUAAUUCGAUGCAACGCGAAGAACCUUACCUGGGCUUGACAUGUUCCCGACCGCGGCAGAGAUGUCGUUUCCCUUCGGGGCGGGUUCACAGGUGGUGCAUGGUCGUCGUCAGCUCGUGUCGUGAGAUGUUGGGUUAAGUCCCGCAACGAGCGCAACCCUCGCCCUGUGUUGCCAGCACGUCAUGGUGGGAACUCACGGGGGACCGCCGGGGUCAACUCGGAGGAAGGUGGGGAUGACGUCAGAUCAUCAUGCCCCUUACGUCCAGGGCUUCACGCAUGCUACAAUGGCCGGUACAACGGGAUGCGACACGGCGACGUGGAGCGGAUCCCUGAAAACCGGUCUCAGUUCGGAUUGGAGUCUGCAACCCGACUCCAUGAAGGCGGAGUCGCUAGUAAUCGCGGAUCAGCAACGCCGCGGUGAAUGCGUUCCCGGGCCUUGUACACACCGCCCGUCAAGUCAUGAAAGUGGGUAGCACCCGAAGCCGGUGGCCUAACCCUUUGUGGAUGGAGCCGUCUAAGGUGAGACUCGUGAUUGGGACUAAGUCGUAACAAGGUAGCCGUACCGGAAGGUGCGGCUG